rnacentral:tRNA from 2 species
GCAGGAGUGGUGGAACGGCAGACACGCUGUCUUCAGGCGGCAGUGGAGCAAUCCGUGUGGGUUCAAAUCCCAUCUCCUGCACCA